CUGGCGGCGUGCUUACACAUGCAAGUCGAGCGAGAAGUUUAGAAAUGGAUCUUCGGAGAAAUAGAUAAAUGGACAGCGGCGGACGGGUGAGUAACGCGUAAAUAACCUACCAUGCACACAAGGAUAGCCAUCGGAAACGGUGAAUAAUACUUGAUGAGGCUACAGUUUCGCAUGAAACAGUAGUUAAAGAAUUUUGGUGUAUGAUGGAUUUGCGUUUGAUUAGCUAGUUGGUAAGGUAAUGGCUUACCAAGGCGAUGAUCAAUAGCCGGCCUGAGAGGGUGAACGGCCACACUGGAACUGAGACACGGUCCAGACUCCUACGGGAGGCAGCAGUGGGGAAUAUUGCACAAUGGGCGGAAGCCUGAUGCAGCAACGCCGCGUGAACGAAGAAGGCUUUCGAGUCGUAAAGUUCUGUUAUAGGGGAAGAAGAAGUGACGGUACCCUAUAAGAAAGCCACGGCUAAUUACGUGCCAGCAGCCGCGGUAAUACGUAAGUGGCGAGCGUUAUCCGGAAUUACUGGGCAUAAAGAGUUCGUAGGCGGUCAAAAAAGCCAAUAGUGAAGGCCACCGGCCUAACCGGUGUAAGCUAAUGGAACUGAUUGACUUGAGUACAGGAGAGGAAAGUGGAAUUCCUAGUGUAGUAGUGAAAUGCGUAGAUAUUAGGAAGAACAUCAGUAGCGAAGGCGACUUUCUGGACUGAAACUGACGCUGAGGAACGAAAGCGUGGGGAGCAAACAGGAUUAGAUACCCUGGGUAGUCCC
rnacentral:rRNA from 1 species